UCAGAUUGAACGCUGGCGGCAGGCCUAACACAUGCAAGUCGAGCGGUAGAGAGAAGCUUGCUUCUCUUGAGAGCGGCGGACGGGUGAGUAAUGCCUAGGAAUCUGCCUGGUAGUGGGGGAUAACGUUCGGAAACGGACGCUAAUACCGCAUACGUCCUACGGGAGAAAGCAGGGGACCUUCGGGCCUUGCGCUAUCAGAUGAGCCUAGGUCGGAUUAGCUAGUUGGUGGGGUAAUGGCUCACCAAGGCGACGAUCCGUAACUGGUCUGAGAGGAUGAUCAGUCACACUGGAACUGAGACACGGUCCAGACUCCUACGGGAGGCAGCAGUGGGGAAUAUUGGACAAUGGGCGAAAGCCUGAUCCAGCCAUGCCGCGUGUGUGAAGAAGGUCUUCGGAUUGUAAAGCACUUUAAGUUGGGAGGAAGGGCCAUUACCUAAUACGUGAUGGUUUUGACGUUACCGACAGAAUAAGCACCGGCUAACUCUGUGCCAGCAGCCGCGGUAAUACAGAGGGUGCAAGCGUUAAUCGGAAUUACUGGGCGUAAAGCGCGCGUAGGUGGUUUGUUAAGUUGGAUGUGAAAUCCCCGGGCUCAACCUGGGAACUGCAUUCAAAACUGACUGACUAGAGUAUGGUAGAGGGUGGUGGAAUUUCCUGUGUAGCGGUGAAAUGCGUAGAUAUAGGAAGGAACACCAGUGGCGAAGGCGACCACCUGGACUGAUACUGACACUGAGGUGCGAAAGCGUGGGGAGCAAAC
rnacentral:rRNA from 1 species